rnacentral:rRNA from 1 species
GAUGAACGCUGGCGGCGUGCCUAAUACAUGCAAGUCGAGCGAACAGACGAGGAGCUUGCUCCUCUGACGUUAGCGGCGGACGGGUGAGUAACACGUGGAUAACCUACCUAUAAGACUGGGAUAACUUCGGGAAACCGGAGCUAAUACCGGAUAAUAUAUUGAACCGCAUGGUUCAAUAGUGAAAGACGGUUUUGCUGUCACUUAUAGAUGGAUCCGCGCCGCAUUAGCUAGUUGGUAAGGUAACGGCUUACCAAAGCAACGAUGCGUAGCCGACCUGAGAGGGUGAUCGGCCACACUGGAACUGAGACACGGUCCAGACUCCUACGGGAGGCAGCAGUAGGGAAUCUUCCGCAAUGGGCGAAAGCCUGACGGAGCAACGCCGCGUGAGUGAUGAAGGUCUUCGGAUCGUAAAACUCUGUUAUUAGGGAAGAACAAAUGUGUAAGUAACUAUGCACGUCUUGACGGUACCUAAUCAGAAAGCCACGGCUAACUACGUG